GAGAGUUUGAUCCUGGCUCAGGAUGAACGCUAGCUACAGGCUUAACACAUGCAAGUCGAGGGGCAGCAUGGUCUUAGCUUGCUAAGGCCGAUGGCGACCGGCGCACGGGUGAGUAACACGUAUCCAACCUGCCGUCUACUCUUGGACAGCCUUCUGAAAGGAAGAUUAAUACAAGAUGGCAUCAUGAGUCCGCAUGUUCACAUGAUUAAAGGUAUUCCGGUAGACGAUGGGGAUGCGUUCCAUUAGAUAGUAGGCGGGGUAACGGCCCACCUAGUCUUCGAUGGAUAGGGGUUCUGAGAGGAAGGUCCCCCACAUUGGAACUGAGACACGGUCCAAACUCCUACGGGAGGCAGCAGUGAGGAAUAUUGGUCAAUGGGCGAGAGCCUGAACCAGCCAAGUAGCGUGAAGGAUGACUGCCCUAUGGGUUGUAAACUUCUUUUAUAAAGGAAUAAAGUCGGGUAUGGAUACCCGUUUGCAUGUACUUUAUGAAUAAGGAUCGGCUAACUCCGUGCCAGCAGCCGCGGUAAUACGGAGGAUCCGAGCGUUAUCCGGAUUUAUUGGGUUUAAAGGGAGCGUAGAUGGAUGUUUAAGUCAGUUGUGAAAGUUUGCGGCUCAACCGUAAAAUUGCAGUUGAUACUGGAUAUCUUGAGUGCAGUUGAGGCAGGCGGAAUUCGUGGUGUAGCGGUGAAAUGCUUAGAUAUCACGAAGAACUCCAAUUGCGAAGGCAGCCUGCUAAGCUGCAACUGACAUUGAGGCUCGAAAGUGUGGGUAUCAAACAGGAUUAGAUACCCUGGUAGUCCACACGGUAAACGAUGAAUACUCGCUGUUUGUGAUAUACUGCAAGCGGCCAAGCGAAAGCGUUAAGUAUUCCACCUGGGGAGUACGCCGGCAACGGUGAAACUCAAAGGAAUUGACGGGGGCCCGCACAAGCGGAGGAACAUGUGGUUUAAUUCGAUGAUACGCGAGGAACCUUACCCGGGCUUAAAUUGCAGAUGAAUUACGGUGAAAGCCGUAAGCCGCAAGGCAUCUGUGAAGGUGCUGCAUGGUUGUCGUCAGCUCGUGCCGUGAGGUGUCGGCUUAAGUGCCAUAACGAGCGCAACCCUUGUUGUCAGUUACUAACAGGUUCUGCUGAGGACUCUGACAAGACUGCCAUCGUAAGAUGUGAGGAAGGUGGGGAUGACGUCAAAUCAGCACGGCCCUUACGUCCGGGGCUACACACGUGUUACAAUGGGGGGUACAGAGGGCCGCUACCACGCGAGUGGAUGCCAAUCCCAAAAACCUCUCUCAGUUCGGACUGGAGUCUGCAACCCGACUCCACGAAGCUGGAUUCGCUAGUAAUCGCGCAUCAGCCACGGCGCGGUGAAUACGUUCCCGGGCCUUGUACACACCGCCCGUCAAGCCAUGGGAGCCGGGGGUACCUGAAGUGCGUAACCGCGAGGAGCGCCCUAGGGUAAAACUGGUGACUGGGGCUAAGUCGUAACAAGGUAGCCG
rnacentral:rRNA from 1 species